GCUCCCCUGGAAGGUGCUCAUAGCUGGCGAGGAGAACCGACUGCGCCUGCACCCAGCCUCCUGCAUUCCUCCCAAGGUUCCUUGCCUCACCAGCAGGUCCUUGUAGGAUUUCAGCUCUGGGCUGUGUGUCUGGGGCUGAGCCAGGUGCCCCCUGCUCCACGCUGGGUCCCAUGAGACAGGCAGGACCACCCUGUCCCUCGCGCCCGGGGCCGCAGCAGCCGGCUCUGCCCCCAGAGCGGAGCUGCACAGAGCUGCU